GUCCCGUUCGUCUAGGGGUUAGGACACCGCCCUUUCACGGCGGCAACAGGGGUUCAAAUCCCCUACGGGACGCCA
rnacentral:tRNA from 1 species